rnacentral:misc_RNA from 1 species
AGCAGCCGCGGUAAUUCCAGCUCCAAUAGCGUAUAUUAAAGUUGUUGCAGUUAAAAGCUCGUAGUUGAAUUUCGGGAUUGACACAUCGGUCGUGCCUUAAGGGGUAUGAACUGGUGUAGUCAAUUUCUCACCUUCUGGAGAACCGCGAUGCCCUUAAUUGGGUGUCGCGGGGAACCAGGACCUUUACUUUGAAAAAUUAGAGUGUUUAAAGCAGGCAUUUUGCUUGAAUACAUUAGCAUGGAAUAAUAAAAUAGGACGGCAUGAUUCUAUUUUGUUGGUUUCUAGGAUCACCGUAAUGAUUAAUAGGGAUAGUUGGGGGCAUUAGUAUUCAAUUGUCAGAGGUGAAAUUCUUGGAUUUAUUGAAGACUAACUACUGCGAAAGCAUUUGCCAAGGAUGUUUUCAUUAAUCAAGAACGAAAGUUAGGGAUCGAAGACGAUCAGAUACCGUCGUAGUCUUAACCAUAAACUAUGCCGACUAGGAAUCAGACGAUGUUAAUUUUUAAUGUACUUCGUUUGCACC